rnacentral:rRNA from 1 species
GAUGAACGCUGGCGGCGUGCCUAAUACAUGCGAGUCGAGCGAACAGACGAGGAGCUUGCUCCUCUGACGUUAGCGGCGGACGGGUGAGUAACACGUGGAUAACCUACCUAUAAGACUGGGAUAACUUCGGGAAACCGGAGCUAAUACCGGAUAAUAUAUUGAACCGCAUGGUUCAAUAGUGAAAGACGGUUUUGCUGUCACUUAUAGAUGGAUCCGCGCCGCAUUAGCUAGUUGGUAAGGUAACGGCUUACCAAGGCGACGAUGCGUAGCCGACCUGAGAGGGUGUGCGGCCACCCGGAAUCGGAACACCGGCCCGGCACCCUCGGGGGGGGAGGAGGAGGGGAUCUUCCGGAAUGGGCGAAAGCCAGCCGGACGAAGCCCCGGGGAGUGAGGAAGGUUUUCGGUUCGGAAAUCUUUGUUUUUAGGGAGGAAAAAAUGUAUAAUUAACUUGGCCCUUUUGAGGGGUCCCUAAUCAGAAGCCCCCGCCAAACUCCGG